rnacentral:rRNA from 1 species
UACAGAGGUGGCAAGCGUUGUUCGGAAUUAUUGGGCGUAAAGAGCUCGUAGGCGGUUUGUUGCGUCGGCUGUGAAAUCCCGAGGCUCAACCUCGGGUCUGCAGUCGAUACGAGCAAACUAGAGUGUUGCAGGGGAGACUGGAAUUCCUGGUGUAGCGGUGAAAUGCGCAGAUAUCAGGAGGAACACCAGUGGCGAAGGCGGCACUCUGGGCCGGUACUGACGCUGAGGAGCGAAAGCGUGGGGAGCGAACAGG